rnacentral:lncRNA from 1 species
UUUAAGUCAACAAUGAGUAAAAGCUAGGGACUUUUAGCACAAUUUAUAUGUGGUGAAAUAUAAAUAUAAUCACCCUUUUUAAGACCAUAUUUUUCGUUAAUGAAAAUUACAAAAUUCUAGACAUUUGAAGAUCAUAGUGCAAUAAUCAAAUGAAAAGGUUUUUAAUUCAAAAUUCAUGUAUUGAUUUAACUAUUAAUAUUAAUAAUAAAAUAUAUCAACUCAUACCAAUCUAAUUCCAAAUCCUAAAUUCAAAGCCUCACUCCAUCGUCUCUCCUUGCUCUCUCACUUAACCUACAUUGGCGCCACCUCCCAUUGUUGGAGACCACUGCCUACAUCAACAAUCCACUCGAACUCACAGCAUCGCGCGACAUCGCAACUAGCGCAGGUGUCGCGACGAGUGUUGGUUCCGCGACGAUCGCCGAUAUCGUGGCUGCUGCAAAAUCGUCAAGCGUUGAUCUAAGUGCUGUUGUGAGCAUCGAAGUUAGUGCUCAUUGAGGCGAUGUGUGUCGUCGUAGUGGCUACGUUGUGCUGCAAUGCCGGUUGACGACAGUGCAGUAGCGCUGCCACGACAGAAAAAUGUUUGUUGAUUUAUGUAAGUUUAGUGUGUGUUGAAGUGUAUUAGUGCGGUGUUGAAGUAUUUGUUGGGUUUAUUAGUUUUUGGAGUGGUGGUGGAUGCAAUGGUGGUGUCGGGCGGUUAGCGGUGGUAGGUUGGAUUUCAACUUGAAGAAGUUGAAGAAGAGGUCGAAUGAGUUCGAGAGCGAGUUGGGCAAGUUUGAAUUUGUGUAGGAGUGAAUCAGUGAGUUUCAGGCUUGGAAACUUGCACGGGUACGUUGAAGGGUGUGUGGUGGUUUUAAUGUUGCUUAUGGUGGUGGUAAUGAUGGUUUGGGGCUGCUACGAUUUUCAGCAGGGGCGACAUCAAGGUGUAGUGGUGGUGGUGGUGGUGGUGCUCCUUGUGGUGGUGGCUAGAUACGGUGGUGGUGUGCGCGCUAUGGGUGCAGUGGUGUUGGCGGCACUGUUAAUGUGUGGUGUUUGACCAGUUGUGGUGCAGAUGUGGAUUGUGUUGUUAUUGUUGGUGCUGGAUCGAGAUCCGUGGUGGGGGUGUUUGGAACCUGUGACCAACUGUUUUGGCAUCUGUGACCAACUAUAAUUAAACUAUGGUGAUGGUGGCGAG